rnacentral:rRNA from 1 species
UCCACGCCGUAAACGAUGAUAACUAGCUGUUGGGGCUCUUGGAGCUCCAGUGGCGCAGCUAACGCAUUAAGUUAUCCGCCUGGGGAGUACGGCCGCAAGGUUAAAACUCAAAGGAAUUGACGGGGGCCUGCACAAGCGGUGGAGCAUGUGGUUUAAUUCGAAGCAACGCGCAGAACCUUACCAGCGUUUGACAUGCCUGGACGGUUUCCAGAGAUGGAUU